GGUGAAUGCUGGCGGCGUGGAUAAGUCAUGCAAGUCAAGGGGGCCCGCAAGGGCAACCGGCAAACGAGGUAGUAACACGUAGGUAGACCCCCCAGAGUCGGGCAUAGCCAGCCGAAAGGUUAGGGUAAUUCCCGACUAGUCCCGAAAGGGUAAAGGUUUUUCGUCUCUGGGAGUUGCCUGCGUAGUAUCAGCUAGUUGGUAGGGUAAUGGCCUACCAAGGCUACGACGCUUAGGGAGCUGAGAGGCUGACCCCCACCGAUGGAACUGCGACACGGUCCAUACUCCUACGGGAGGCUGCAGACGAGAAUAUUCCGCAAUGGGCGAAAGCCUGACGGAGCGACGCCGCGUGAUUGAUGAAGUGCUUCGGUACGUAAAGAUCUUUUAUCGGGGACGAAGUUUAUUGACGGUACCCGAUGAAUAAGGGGCUCCUAACUCUGUGCCAGCAGCCGCGGUAAU
rnacentral:rRNA from 1 species